GGGUUGUGAGGUUAAGCGACUAAGCGUACACGGUGGAUGCCCUGGCAGUCAGAGGCGAUGAAGGACGUGCUAAUCUGCGAUAAGCGCCGGUAAGGUGAUAUGAACCGUUAUAACCGGCGAUUUCCGAAUGGGGAAACCCAGUGUGAUUCGUCACACUAUCAUUAACUGAAUCCAUAGGUUAAUGAGGCGAACCGGGGGAGCUGAAACAUCUAAGUACCCCGAGGAAAAGAAAUCAACCGAGAUUCCCCCAGUAGCGGCGAGCGAACGGGGAGGAGCCCAGAGCCUGAAUCAGCAUGUGUGUUAGUGGAAGCGUCUGGAAAGGCGCGCGAUACAGGGUGACAGCCCCGUACACAAAAGCGCAUGUGCUGUGAGCUCGAUGAGUAGGGCGGGACACGUGGUAUCCUGUCUGAAUAUGGGGGGACCAUCCUCCAAGGCUAAAUACUCCUGACUGACCGAUAGUGAACCAGUACCGUGAGGGAAAGGCGAAAAGAACCCCGGCGAGGGGAGUGAAAAAGAACCUGAAACCGUGUACGUACAAGCAGUGGGAGCACAGGUUUACCUGUGUGACUGCGUACCUUUUGUAUAAUGGGUCAGCGACUUAUAUUCUGUAGCAAGGUUAACCGAAUAGGGGAGCCGGAGGGAAACCGAGUCUUAAUUGGGCGUUAAGUUGCAGGGUAUAGACCCGAAACCCGGUGAUCUAGCCAUGGGCAGGUUGAAGGUUGGGUAACACUAACUGGAGGACCGAACCGACUAAUGUUGAAAAAUUAGCGGAUGACCUGUGGCUGGGGGUGAAAGGCCAAUCAAACCGGGAGAUAGCUGGUUCUCCCCGAAAGCUAUUUAGGUAGCGCCUCGUGAAUUCAUCUCCGGGGUAGAGCACUGUUUCGGCUAGGGGGCCAUCCCGGCUUACCAACCCGAUGCAAACUGCGAAUACCGGAGAAUGUUAUCACGGGAGACACACGGCGGGUGCUAACGUCCGUCGUGAAGAGGGAAACAACCCAGACCGCCAGCUAAGGUCCCAAAGUCAUGGUUAAGUGGGAAACGAUGUGGGAAGGCCCAGACAGCCAGGAUGUUGGCUUAGAAGCAGCCAUCAUUUAAAGAAAGCGUAAUAGCUCACUGGUCGAGUCGGCCUGCGCGGAAGAUGUAACGGGGCUAAACCAUGCACCGAAGCUGCGGCAGCGACACUGUGUGUUGUUGGGUAGGGGAGCGUUCUGUAAGCCUGUGAAGGUGUGUCGUGAGGCAUGCUGGAGGUAUCAGAAGUGCGAAUGCUGACAUAAGUAACGAUAAAGCGGGUGAAAAGCCCGCUCGCCGGAAGACCAAGGGUUCCUGUCCAACGUUAAUCGGGGCAGGGUGAGUCGACCCCUAAGGCGAGGCCGAAAGGCGUAGUCGAUGGGAAACGGGUUAAUAUUCCCGUACUUGGUGUUACUGCGAAGGGGGGACGGAGAAGGCUAUGUUGGCCGGGCGACGGUUGUCCCGGUUUAAGCGUGUAGGUGUGUGUUCCAGGUAAAUCCGGUUCACUUUAACACUGAGGCGUGACGACGAGGCACUACGGUGCUGAAGCAACAAAUGCCCUGCUUCCAGGAAAAGCCUCUAAGCAUCAGGUAACAUCAAAUCGUACCCCAAACCGACACAGGUGGUCAGGUAGAGAAUACCAAGGCGCUUGAGAGAACUCGGGUGAAGGAACUAGGCAAAAUGGUGCCGUAACUUCGGGAGAAGGCACGCUGACACGUAGGUGAAGUGAUUUACUCAUGGAGCUGAAGUCAGUCGAAGAUACCAGCUGGCUGCAACUGUUUAUUAAAAACACAGCACUGUGCAAACACGAAAGUGGACGUAUACGGUGUGACGCCUGCCCGGUGCCGGAAGGUUAAUUGAUGGGGUCAGCGCAAGCGAAGCUCCUGAUCGAAGCCCCGGUAAACGGCGGCCGUAACUAUAACGGUCCUAAGGUAGCGAAAUUCCUUGUCGGGUAAGUUCCGACCUGCACGAAUGGCGUAAUGAUGGCCAGGCUGUCUCCACCCGAGACUCAGUGAAAUUGAACUCGCUGUGAAGAUGCAGUGUACCCGCGGCAAGACGGAAAGACCCCGUGAACCUUUACUAUAGCUUGACACUGAACAUUGAGCCUUGAUGUGUAGGAUAGGUGGGAGGCUUUGAAGUGUGGACGCCAGUCUGCAUGGAGCCGACCUUGAAAUACCACCCUUUAAUGUUUGAUGUUCUAACGUGGACCCGUUACCCGGGUUGCGGACAGUGUCUGGUGGGUAGUUUGACUGGGGCGGUCUCCUCCUAAAGAGUAACGGAGGAGCACGAAGGUUGGCUAAUCCUGGUCGGACAUCAGGAGGUUAGUGCAAUGGCAUAAGCCAGCUUGACUGCGAGCGUGACGGCGCGAGCAGGUGCGAAAGCAGGUCAUAGUGAUCCGGUGGUUCUGAAUGGAAGGGCCAUCGCUCAACGGAUAAAAGGUACUCCGGGGAUAACAGGCUGAUACCGCCCAAGAGUUCAUAUCGACGGCGGUGUUUGGCACCUCGAUGUCGGCUCAUCACAUCCUGGGGCUGAAGUAGGUCCCAAGGGUAUGGCUGUUCGCCAUUUAAAGUGGUACGCGAGCUGGGUUUAGAACGUCGUGAGACAGUUCGGUCCCUAUCUGCCGUGGGCGCUGGAGAACUGAGGGGGGCUGCUCCUAGUACGAGAGGACCGGAGUGGACGCAUCACUGGUGUUCGGGUUGUCAUGCCAAUGGCACUGCCCGGUAGCUAAAUGCGGAAGAGAUAAGUGCUGAAAGCAUCUAAGCACGAAACUUGCCCCGAGAUGAGUUCUCCCUGAGACUUUAAGUCUCCUGAAGGAACGUUGAAGACGACGACGUUGAUAGGCCGGGUGUGUAAGCGCAGCGAUGCGUUGAGCUAACCGGUACUAAUGAACCGUGAGGCUUAACCUUACAACGCCGAAG
rnacentral:rRNA from 1 species